rnacentral:ncRNA from 2 species
CGAGUAUCAAGAGCGCAGCGAGGGAACUAGCCCUGCGACCUGCCAGCAACCAAUCUAAUUUUUAUUAGACGUGGUGCUACCUCUAGCCCGCAAGGGAAAGAUAUAAA